AAUAAACGGAGCUGAUCCAUAGAAUUGAGCGGAGACCAGAGCUUCGGAUGUGCUGCUGUCCUACAGGAGAGGGACAUUUACAAACUUAACACCUGCAUUUUUAUUUUUGCACCGGCAAAAGAAAAAAAAGAUAAAUCAUUCGAGAUAUAUAUAUAUAUAUUUUUCUUUGGCAGGUUCAUGUUUUCUGUGUGAGGGAAACUUUUUAUUUUUCAGUUGCGUGGAGGUUGAAUUGAAUUGGGGGAAGGAAAAGAAAACCAGGCCGAAUGUUUAGGAAUGGCUGAAGAGAACAAGGGUCACCCCAGUCACAGUAAUAAGAUAAAGAAGGCUGCAGUUGCUGAAGAAGAAGGGAGCGGGGAAGAAGAAGAAGAGGAAGAAGAAGGGGAGGAAGAAGAGGAAGAGGAGGAGGAGGAGGAGGAGGAGGAAGGGGAGCUGAGUUUGGGGAAGGCCCUGCACCAGUGCGACCUCAACCAGAACAUGAUCGACAUCAGCAUCUCCAGCCUGGAGGGGCUCAGGACCAAAUGCGCCGCUUCCAACGACCUGACACAGCAGGAGAUCCGGAUGCUGGAGGUGAAAAUUGUCAAAUAUAUUAGUAAGCAGUUACAAUGCAAGCAUAAGGUAACACCCAGUGAGCGAACAUCUGAACUGGAGAGCUACCCCCGACUAAGCGAUUGGUUCCGUACCAUUAACUUAAGAAAAGAAGUAAUACAGGGGGUCCCAGGUGAUCUAACACUAGACAUCUUACUGAACAUGUCGGAUACAAAGGUCUGUGAAGCCAUGAAGAGGUAUGGAGCCAACCCUGAAGAAUGCUGUCGGCUGAAUGCUGCCCUCUCCUGCUUAAAGAGCAUAAAUGAUUCAGGUGGCGAGCUGCAAGAUGAUGCUGUUCUUUGGACUUCAUCUGAAACAAGACGAGAAAGCAAUACUGUACCUCCUUCAGAACUGGGGUUUCCUGUUGGUUCCAGACAGCCCCACAGUCCUUCCCCUGUUCCCAGACUAAUUCACCCACAGCCGCGUUCAAUAUCUGUCUCUGUUAUUCCUACAUCGGAUUAUAUAUGCUUGCCAAAUCGGUCAGAUAACUUAGUAGACCCCUUUUCACAGUCCCCUCGACCAGGUCGACGAACAUCAGGGGCUCAGAUGAUCAUAACUACACCACCGGCCACUCCUCCCUCAAAGAAGAAACAUCGAUUUAAACCACCCCGAACUCCGCCGCCACCUUCUAGAAAACUUAUUCAGCUUUUUCCUGGUUUCUCAGGACUCACCAGGAGCAAAUCUCAUGAGUCACAACUGGGCAAUAGAAUAGACGAGGUACCAACAAUUAGGUUCGGUAAGAAAAACAAGUUUUUCCUCAAUCUGAACAUCAAUGGCAGUGGCAACAGCUGUGAUGAUAUUGCUACCCGAUCCCCCUUAUUACCAUGUAGGCCUUUCUUUCCUCAAUCUGUCGGGAGUUCUCACUGUCUUCCCACAACGCCUUGUCCAUCUGAUGACCACAGUUCUCCAAAAAACACUUUACAUGUACCGCGGGGAUCUCCUCAGAUGCUACAAAGGGAUUUUGGGCUUUCCAUUACACAUAGGUUUUCAACAAAAUCUUGGUUAUCACAGACCUGUCAAGUUUGUCAAAAAAAUAUGAUGUUUGGUGUGAAGUGCAAACAUUGUAGAUUAAAGUGCCACAACAAAUGCACAAAAGAAGCUCCUCCAUGCCGGAUAUCAUUUCCUCAAAUAUCAUCAAAAAUUCGAAGAACAGAGUCUGUACCAUCUGAUAUUAACAAUUCUGUGGAUAGAUCUGCGGAACCGCAGUUUGGCACACUUCCAAAGGCACUAAAAAAGGAUCAUGCACCAGUUCCUUUGGAUUCCAGCAGCAACCCUUCUUCAACGACUUCUUCAACUCCUUCUUCUCCGGCACCUUUUCAGUCUUCCAAUCCUCCGAGUGCUACCCCACCUCCAAACCCUUCACCAAAAGGUCCCAGAGACAGGUUCAAAUUUCCAGCUGCGUACUACUUUCAUCAUAGACAACAGUUUAUCUUCCCAGAUGUUCCUAGCCCAACGUUACCUGUCACUUUACAGCCCGACAGCUCUGAAGACACUAAUACUGUAGAGGAAACUGAGCCUGAAGCAGCUGAAGAUCUGGAUGCCGAGAAUGAAGAUCAAGUACUUGACGACGAGGAGGCUAAUAAAUCAGAAUCAGAAUGUGAGACUGAUGAGGUGGAUGACUUGCCAAAUACUAGAUCCCACUGCAGAGGACUGAUGUCUCGCAAGCCCAGCCAGACAAGUGUCUUCCUACAGGAAUGGGACAUCCCAUUUCACGAAUUGGAAGUUGGAGAGCUGAUUGGCAAAGGACGAUGGGGCAAAGUUCAUAAAGGACGCUGGCAUGGAGAAGUGGCAAUUAGGUUGUUAGAGAUUGAUGGGAAUAAUCAGGAUCAUCUGAAAUUGUUCAAAAAAGAAGUGAUGACCUAUCGGCAAACGAGGCAUGAAAAUGUGGUACUUUUCAUGGGAGCUUGCAUGCAUCCUCCACAUUUAGCCAUUAUUACAAGUUUCUGUAAAGGACGAACACUCUUCUCAUUUGUGAGAGAUUCCAAAAUCACGCUGGAUAUUAACAAGAUGAGGCAAAUUGCACAAGAAAUUAUUAAAGGGAUGGGGUAUCUUCAUGCAAGAGGUAUUGUGCACAAGGAUUUGAAAUCAAAGAAUAUCUUCUAUGACAAUGGAAAAGUUGUAAUCACAGACUUUGGAUUAUUUGGUAUAUCUGGUGUGGUGCAAGAGGACAGGAGAGAGAAUGAGCUGAAGCUGCCAAAUGGAUGGUUGUGCUAUGUAGCUCCUGAAAUAGUCCAAGGAAUGUGUCCCGGCAAAGACGAAGACAAGCUCCUAUUUUCAAAGGCAGGAGAUGUAUAUGCAUUUGGCACUAUUUGGUAUGAACUUCAGGCAAGGGAUUGGCCAUUUAAGAACCAACCUGUAGAGGCAAUAAUCUGGCAAGUUGGCAGUGGGAAAGGAGUUGAAAAUCUACUAGCUCAAAUUUCCUUGGGCAAGGAAGUGACGGAAAUUCUGUCUGCAUGUUGGUCUUAUCAUCAAAAUGAAAGGCCAACUUUUACGCAGCUGAUGGACAUGCUUGAAAAACUGCCAAAACUCAACAGGCGACUUUCUCAUCCUGGCCACUUCUGGAAAUCUGCAGAGUUGUCAUUCUGAAAAAAAAAGAGACCGCAGCAAGUAACCAAAAAGAUGUUUUUAGAUGAGCAGCCAUUUUCCAGUGAUUGGAUACCAAAAAUGAAGUUUCCGUGUUUCAAAACUGCUGUUUAUUGCACAAGUUACGGGGUGUUACCAAACAUUGACAACCUCUAUAUUUGCCUGGGCUAAGAUACUCCAGUAAUAUGACUGCUGUAGGAAUUUUGGAUGAUCCAGCUUUGUUGAACAGUUGUAGCUGCUGGUGCAAUAUCUGGGUCUGCCUUGCAUGCAUCCAAAAUUUCUCCCCUGUGAUGCAACAACUUUGGCAAUCAUUUCCAUCGUUAGAUCUUCAAAUUUAACCCUUGGAGACAAUGCAACAGUAAAUGCCUAACCCUCCCAAGCUUCUUUGCCUUUCUGAUUUUCUUUCUCUGGGCUAAUGGCUUCAAAGAUAACAUUGUUUGCAGAAAACCACUCUUCAUACUAACAGAAUGAGUCUGGUUACUUGGAAAUACAUCAGACAAAAUACCUGUAACUGAAACAAAAGCAGAAUUACCUGGAAAAGCUCAGCAGGUCUUUAUUGUUCUUAUCUUGGUUUUUACCUGUAACUGAACUGGGUGUGGUUUUACUACUGACUACGCUUAAUGCUACACACCUGCUGAAGAAACAAACAAAACAUUUGCACUGUGUGUGAUUUAUUACUUCUUUCAAAGUCUUUAUUUGACCAUUAGUUCCAGCCCAUAUUUUAAUUUUAAACUUGGUUACACAGUUGCUGUUUCUAGAUAAGAAUGCAGUUAACAUGUUUAUGUGCAGUCGUUUGUCCUGCUGGGAUGGAUUUGGAAAAAUAAGUUAACCUGUUUUAUUUCUCCUGUUUCCCUUUCAGCGUUAGUAGUAGCAAAGGUCUUGCAAGGUUCGAAAGACUUGACCUGGGAAUUCUGGAACAGCAAAGCAAUCAAAAGCUUUAAUGGGGUUGCUCAUUUUAUUUUCAUGAGCUGUGUUGCAGUGAUAACUUGAUAACGCUAUGUUCCUCAAAAUAUUUCCAAAAUGCUUCAUGGUUCACUACAUUUUUGUGCAACAGUUGAGCUGGCUAGAGAACGAGAAAAGAAUGGGGCUGUUGGGUAUUGGGAGAUAGCAGACAAUUCUUCGUAGCCUAUGUAUAAAAUUGUUCAUUAAAUAGUACAUGUUUUAAUAUAAAUGUUAAAAGAAUUGUCUCAAACAUGCCUUUUAAUUGCUGGAAGUUUUACAACUUCAAUUCAUCAGAACUUAAUGCAUCAUAAAAAUUCUGUUAUUCCACAAACAAGUAAUCAAGUCAAAGAUCAAAAACUUGGUUAAGCUAUUUAUCUAAAACUGUUUCUUAUUAAUUGGAGAUUCUUGCUUGUGGGAUUGUUAUCAAUGUGCUGCUGCUGAUGAAAAAUCUGAAAGGCAAGUUAUGAACAUCUUGGUUGCAAAUCUCUACAAUCAGGGCCAAGUUCUAUAUCCUGUAAAUUUGUAGGUACUGUGGGCACCAAAUUAAAAUGGGAACAGGAAAGGUGGGGGAAACUCUUCAUCAAGUUCACAAUUUGAGCAUAAAGCAGAAAGUGCUUUAAACAAAACAAUAAAUAACAAAAAUUUAGCAGAACACCAAUUAAAAUUCAUGCACAUGGAAUCAAAAUUAAGAUGAAAGAGCCAUUAAAUAACAGGUAACUCAAAAUCACAGAAUUAUUACAGCACAGAAGGGGAGACCAUUCUGCCCCUUGUCUGCAUGACUCUCUGAGCACUUCACCUAGUGCCAUCCCCCUGCCUUCUCCCAAAUUCCUGCAUAUCCUUCCUUUCCAGGGAAGAGUCCAAUUCCCUUUUGAAUGCCUCAAUUGAAUCUGCUUCCACCACAUUUUCAGUGGAUUCUAGAUCUUAACCACUUGCUGCAUGAAAAAGUUUCUCCUCCUGUCUCCAUGUUUCUUUUGCCAAUUACCUUAAAUCUGUGCCCUCUCAUUCUUGAGCCUUUCACCAGGGGAACAAUUUUUCCCUAUCUACUCUGUCCAAAUCACUCAUGAUUUUGAAUACCUCUAUGAAAUCUCCUCUCAACCUCUCUUUCUCAAGGAAAACAGUUCCAGCCUCUCCAGUCUAUCUAUGUAACUGAAGUUCCUCAUCCAUUCUUGUGAAUCUUUUCUGCAUCCUGCCCUGCCCAGAGCCAGGUGCAAUAGUCCAUUUGAGGCCGAAUCAAUUUUAUGCAAGCUUAAGAUAACUUCCUUGCUCUUAUAUUCCAUGUCCCUAUUCAUAAAGCCGUAUUGCAUGCUUUGUUAACCACUCUCUCAACCUGUCCUUCAAUGACUUAUGCAAUGACACAAUGACAUAUACAGCCAGAUCCCUCUGCUCCUGCACCCCCUUUAGAAUCGUACCCAUUUUUUUGUGUCUAUAUCCUU